CCUACGGGAGGCUGCAGUCGAGAAUCAUUCACAAUGGGGGAAACCCUGAUGGUGCGACGCCGCGUGGGGGAAUGAAGGUCUUCGGAUUGUAAACCCCUGUCAUGUGGGAGCAAAUUAAAAAGAUAGUACCACAAGAGGAAGAGACGGCUAACUCUGUGCCAGCAGCCGCGGUAAUACAGAGGUCUCAAGCGUUGUUCGGAAUCACUGGGCGUAAAGCGUGCGUAGGCUGUUUCGUAAGUCGUGUGUGAAAGGCGCGGGCUCAACCCGCGGACGGCACAUGAUACUGCGAGACUAGAGUAAUGGAGGGGGAACCGGAAUUCUCGGUGUAGCAGUGAAAUGCGGAGAUAGCGAGAGGAACACUCGUGGCGAAGGCGGGUUCCUGGACAUUAACUGACGCUGAGGCGCGAAGGCCAGGGGAGCGAAAGGGAUUAGAUACCCCAGUAGUC
rnacentral:rRNA from 1 species